rnacentral:rRNA from 1 species
GAUGAACGCUGGCGGCGUGCCUAAUACAUGCAAGUCGAGCGAACAGAUGAGGAGCUUGCUCCUCUGACGUUAGCGGCGGACGGGUGAGUAACACGUGGAUAACCUACCUAUAAGACUGGGAUAACUUCGGGAAACCGGAGCUAAUACCAGAUAAUAUAUUGAACCGCAUGGUUCAAUAGUGAAAGACGGUUUUGCUGUCACUUAUAGAUGGAUCCGCGCCGCAUUAGCUAGUUGGUAAGGUAACGGCUUACCAAGGCGACGAUGCGUAGCCGACCUGAGAGGGUGAUCGGCCACACUGGAACUGAGACACGGUCCAGACUCCUACGGGAGGCAGCAGUAGUGAAUCUUCCGCAAUGGGCGAAAGCCUGACGGAGCAACGCCGCGUGAGUGAUGAAGGUCUUCGGAUCGUAAAACUCUGUUAUUAGGGAAGAACAAAUGUGUAAGUAACUAUGCACGUCUUGACGGUACCUAAUCAGAAAGCCACGGCUAACUACGUG